AAGUCGUAACAAGGUUUCCGUAGGUGAACCUGCGGAAGGAUCAUUAUCGAGUUUUUGAACGGGUUGUAGCUGGCCUUGUAACAGAGGCAUGUGCACGCCUGGCUCAUCCACUCUCUUAACCCCUGUGCACCAUAUGUAGGAAUGAACGGUGAACGUAUCUGCUUAGCGGGUGCUGAAGCCUUAGUUCUUAUGUUUACUACAAACGCUUCAGUUUUAGAAUGUUUACUGUGUAUAACACAAAUAUACAACUUUCAGCAACGGAUCUCUUGGCUCUC
rnacentral:misc_RNA from 1 species